UCCCUGGUGGUCGCGUGGUUAAGACUCUGCGCUUCCAAUGCAGGGGGCAUGGGUUCAACCCCUGGUCGGGGGA
rnacentral:tRNA from 1 species